GACGAACGCUGGCGGCGUGCUUAGCACAUGCAAGUCGAACGGAAAGGCCCUGCUUGCAGGGUACUCGAGUGGCGAACGGGUGAGUAACACGUGGGUGAUCUGCCCUGCACUUCGGGAUAAGCCUGGGAAACUGGGUCUAAUACCGGAUAGGAGCCAUUUUUAGUGUGAUGGUUGGAAAGUUUUUUCGGUGUAGGAUGAGCUCGCGGCCUAUCAGCUUGUUGGUGGGGUAAUGGCCUACCAAGGCGGCGACGGGUAGCCGGCCUGAGAGGGUGGACGGCCAACGGGGGGCUGAGCGGCGGCCGACGCUGGGGCGGGGGGGAGUGGUGGGGAACGUGGGAGAGGGGGCGGCAGGCUGAGGCGGCGGGGGCGGGGGGGGGGUGGGGGCCUUCGCGUUGGACGCUUCUUUCGGUAGGGAGGCAUCUUUGUGUGACGGUCGCGAGCAAAGGAGGAACGUCUAACGUCGCGCCAGCGGACGCGGUAAUCGGCGGAGGAGCCCACGUGUGACC
rnacentral:rRNA from 1 species